AGACGCCAAGGUAAAUCAUGUUAAACAUCCCGAAACAAAGGGCUAAACCAAAUGAAAAUUACCCCUAUGUCUUUGGUUGGGGCGACCGCGGGGAAACACAAAACCCCCAUGUGGAAUGGGACUACUCCCUCCUACAACUCAGAGCCUCCGCUCUAAUGAACAGAAUUUCUGACCAGCAAGAUCCGGCAACGCCGAUCAACGAACCGAGUUACCCCAGGGAUAACAGCGCAAUCCCCUUUUAGAGUCCAUAUCGACAAGGGGGUUUACGACCUCGAUGUUGGAUCAGGACAUCCUAAUGGUGCAGCCGCUAUUAAG
rnacentral:rRNA from 1 species